GGGGAAUAUUGGACAAUGGGGGCAACCCUGAUCCAGCCAUGCCGCGUGAGUGAUGAAGGCCUUCGGGUUGUAAAGCUCUUUCGGUCGGGACGAUGAUGACGGUACCGACAGAAGAAGCCCCGGCUAACUCUGUGCCAGCAGCCGCGGUAAUACAGAGGGGGCGAGCGUUGUUCGGAAUUACUGGGCGUAAAGGGUGCGUAGGCGGUUUUCCAAGUCAGAUGUGAAAUCCCUGGGCUUAACCCAGGACGUGCAUUUGAGACUGGGAGGCUUGAGUAUGGGAGAGGAUGGUGGAAUACCCAGUGUAGAGGUGAAAUUCGUAGAGAUUGGGUAGAACACCGAUGGCGAAGGCAGCCAUCUGGCCCAUUACUGACGCUGAGGCACGAAAGCGUGGGGAUCAAAC
rnacentral:rRNA from 1 species